rnacentral:rRNA from 1 species
AUUGAACGCUGGCGGAAUGCUUUACACAUGCAAGUCGAACGGCAGCACGGACUUCGGUCUGGUGGCGAGUGGCGAACGGGUGAGUAAUGUAUCGGAACGUGCCCAGUCGUGGGGGAUAACGUAGUGAAAAUUACGCUAAUACCGCAUACGAUCUAUGGAUGAAAGCGGGGGAUCGCAAGACCUCGCGCGAUUGGAGCGGCCGAUAUCAGAUUAGGUAGUUGGUGGGGUAAAGGCCCACCAAGCCAACGAUCUGUAGCUGGUCUGAGAGGACGCCCAGCCACACUGGAACGGAGACACGGUCCAGACUCCUACGGGAGGCAGCAGUGGGGAAUUUUGGACAAUGGGCGAAAGCCUGAUCCAGCCAUUCCGCGUGCAGGAUAAAGGCCCUCGGGUUGUAAACUGCUUUUGUACAGAACGAAAAGGUUUCUACUAAUACUAGGAGCUCAUGACGGUACUGUAAGAAUAAGCACCGGCUAACUACGUGCCAGCCGCCGCCGUAA